GUGCGGGCUGAGGAUGGGCACGGCUCGUCCUCUGCCACACCCCGGGGUCUCCCGACCCUGCGAGCCCCCUGGGUGAGCGCAGGCCCGGCAGCACCCCACCCCACCCCCUCGGCGAGGCCAGCCCCACGCUCCCGCACUCCCCGCCCGCGUCGCCGUAGGCCUGGAGAUUCCAGCGCAACGUGUUCCUGCUACAAAGACUGUAAGGACUGGAAUAAAGAAACACAUAUAUCCUGCUCUUCGUGAAAAUGUACAUCGUUGUAGAAACCUCAGGGCCACAGAUAGGAAUGGACUGGAGAGAUGGCUUAGCAGUUAAGGCACUUGCCCAAGAAGUCUAAUGACCCAUGUUCAACUCCCCAGAGCCCACCUAAGCCAGACACACAAGGUGAUGCCUGUGCAAGGUUGCAGCUGCUCACAAGGUCCUGUUGUCGCUACCUAAGAAAGAUGUCCACCAGCUGGUCAUUUCAUGUCUCCUCUGCCACCAGCCUGCUCUUAGCCAAGACUCAACAUGUCCUGAGUGAAGGCAGCAGCCUUCUCGACUGACCUCUCUCCUCUCAGCCCUUCUGGUCUGUCUGCUACCCAAAGCAUGCAGAGGGAUCAUCUCAAAAGAGACCAGGAUCCCCAGAUGCAGAGUGGACAUUCUGUAAUCACCUGGAUGCUUAUUGACUGAGCAGACUGCAGGACGCCAGUCACCAGCCGCCAAGAGAAGGACACGAGCCGCUUUCCCACACACUCUCUCUGCACCCUGAAGAGAGAGAACAGUUCCUCUUCCCCCCCACACCCCCUCUUCACAAAGCUACUUUGAAAAUUAAUUAAAUGGUAACGGGAAGAAAGCCCUUUGAUUUUCUAAGAGAAAGCUCAUCAUUAAUCUGAGGUUUUUUUCCUGUGUGAAAGAAUGGUAAGUGAGAAGGGGUGAGCCGAAAGAUGCAGGCGCUGUCAGAGGAGCGCACCUCUCACGAUUCUCCGUUGGCCUUUUCAGGAUAAUUGAUUUACAAGUGAUAGAAGGGAGUGAAGAAAGAAACUUUGGACUUCUUAGCCCAAACGACGGAUCUUCAAGAAUAGCUUCUUUGUAAUCAGUGCUCUAUUAUUUACAGCACAGUGUGCUCAUUAUUGAAUUAUUCUCCCACUUCUAUAAUAGCUGUGUCCACUUUGUGGCCAUUUCCCUGAUAAUUAUCCAUACUAAUGUCAGAGUGCUGGCAAAGACAAAAGAGAAAUGAGAACAAAUACAUUAUCUUUGGCAAAAUA